rnacentral:lncRNA from 1 species
ACAGGAGAGGAUGUUCUGCUAAAGCAAGCACAUGUAAGAACAUGUGAUGAAAGAUUCUUUGCUACGUGAAUGUAUUAGUCUGCCUUACAUUGCAUAGUUGAGCUGCAUUUGUCGGGACUCCAUAGAGAGAGAGAAACGCACCAACAAUUUUCUGGUGGUGUGCUGCAGUUUGUUGCCAUUUCCAAGGACUCGGGCUGACUGGAUACAGGUGCUGAGGCAAGACACAGGGAGGAUACGUGAUAUUUGGAGGCAACACAUGUGGAGGACACAUGAUAUUUGGAGGGGAUAAACAGGACUCCACAGAAUGACAAAGGCUGAGCUAGGCUUGCUUUUAGAGCUAGCUGUGCAACGCUUGUGGAUCUCUCAUCUUCGCUGAUCUUCACUUCCCUGAGAGAGGCACAGCUGAGUAUUUCUGGAGUUCCUGCCGACUUGAGCCAAGGUUGAAGCCUGGCUGUCUCUCCUAGGUUGUGCCACCGCAGUUGCUAUCCCGACUCUACCAAACUGGACUGCUGGUGUAUCCGUGAAGUGUUUGAGAGUGGAUGGAGCUGCUGCUGCUGCCUGCUAACCUGUGAACUGAACUGCUGAUUUCCAGACAACUGCUGAUUUUCCAGAUGUGAGUUGCUCCGAAGAACCUUUCUAAACAGGUCCACCUCCCCGUAUUCUUUCUUUUCCACUACCUUUAGUGGGCGGUGGGCUACAAAGGAGGUUAAAGCAUUUAAGAACCAUUAUUGAAAAUAGGAUUUGAAAAAAAUUAAAGUUAUAGCUAGGUGUGUAGGCUCAUGCCUGCAAUUCCAGUACUCAGGAGGUAGAGAGAGAGGACCCAGAGUUCAAGGCUAGUCUGGGCUAUGUAACAAGACACUCAGUGUGUGUGUGUGUGUGUGUGUGUGUGUGUGUGUGUACACUUAUAUGUGUAUACAUGCAUGAUGGAGAGCUGUGCCAUGCGCUCAUGUGAAGGUCAGAGGACAGCUUUGUGCAGUCCCUUCUUUCCUUCCACUUUUGCAUGGGUCCCAAGAAUUGAACUCAGGUCACCAGGCCUGUGUGGCAAGCUCCUUUACUGAUGACCAAUCUUGGCAGCUCAGGAAAAAUGUCCUGAAGAGACACACCUUGCGUGCCCCU